AUUGAACGCUGGCGGCAGGCUUAACACAUGCAAGUCGAGCGGGGGAAGGUAGCUUGCUACCGGACCUAGCGGCGGACGGGUGAGUAAUGCUUAGGAAUCUGCCUAUUAGUGGGGGACAACAUCUCGAAAGGGAUGCUAAUACCGCAUACGUCCUAUGGGAGAAAGCAGGGGAUCUUCGGACCUUGCGCUAAUAGAUGAGCCUAAGUCGGAGAGCUAGCUGGUGGGGUAAAGGCCUACCAAGGCGACGAUCUGUAGCGGGGCUGAGAGGAUGAUCCGCCACACUGGGACUGAGACACGGCCCAGACUCCUACGGGAGGCAGCAGUGGGGAAUAUUGGACAAUGGGGGGAACCCUGAUCCAGCCAUGCCGCGUGUGUGAAGAAGGCCUUAUGGUUGUAAAGCACUUUAAGCGAGGAGGAGGCUACUUUAGUUAAUACCUAGAGAUAGUGGACGUUACUCGCAGAAUAAGCACCGGCUAACUCUGUGCCAGCCGCCGCCGUAA
rnacentral:rRNA from 1 species